rnacentral:tRNA from 1 species
GUCCAGGGGAUAGGAAACGAACUCAUAGUGUUUCCGCUUACCGGGCAGAUGCCAUGUCCACUAGGCUUACCCUGGA